UACGUAGGGUGCGAGCGUUAAUCGGAAUUACUGGGCGUAAAGAGCUCGUAGGCGGUUUGUCGCGUCGUCUGUGAAAUUCUGCAACUCAAUUGCAGGCGUGCAGGCGAUACGGGCAGACUUGAGUACUGCAGGGGAGACUGGAAUUCCUGGUGUAGCGGUGAAAUGCGCAGAUAUCAGGAGGAACACCGGUGGCGAAGGCGGGUCUCUGGGCAGUAACUGACGCUGAGGAGCGAAAGCGUGGGGAGCGAACAGG
rnacentral:rRNA from 1 species